GUGUCAGCAGCCGCGGUAAUACGGAGGGUGCGAGCGUUGUCCGGAAUCAUUGGGCGUAAAGGGCGCGUAGGUGGCCCGGUCAGUCUUUGGUGAAAGCGCGGGGCUCAACCCUGCGUCGGCCAGGGAUACUGCCGCGGCUCGAGCACUGUAGAGGCAGGCGGAAUUCCGGGUGUAGCGGUGGAAUGCGUAGAGAUCCGGAAGAACACCGGUGGCGAAGGCGGCCUGCUGGGCAGUUUAGCUGACACUGAGGCGCGACAGCGUGGGGAGCAAACAGGAUUAGAUACCCUGGUAGUCC
rnacentral:rRNA from 1 species